rnacentral:rRNA from 1 species
UACAGGGGGUGCAAACGUUGCUCGGAAUCAUUGGGCGUAAAGCGCACGUAGGCGGUUCGUUAUGUCGGAUGUGAAAGCCCUUGGCUUAACCGAGGAAGUGCAUCCGAAACUGGCGAGCUAGAGUACUAAAGAGGAUCGCGGAAUUCCCGGUGUAGAGGUGAAAUGCGUAGAUAUCGGGAGGAACACCAGUGGCGAAGGCGAUCAUCUGGGAUUAACCUGACGCUGAGGAGCGAAAGCCAGGGGAGCAAACGGG